UUAUCCUUUCUAGCAAGUAUUUUGAAUCAUAUUUUCCGAUUUUUACUUCUAACUAUGUCAGGAUUGGAAGACUUGAGGUUCUGAGUGGAUCCGAAGUGUUACCUUAGAUUGAUGAUGUGAACGCUGUAUUAAAAUCCCUAGACUACAUGAACGGAGCAGGACGAGCUAUGAUGGUUGUUGCCGAUUCAUCUCUUGAAACUUAGUCCUCUGUUCAAAGGACGAGUCGUUGCCAAAACACAUUGCUGAGAGUUCAGAUUGAAACUCCGUUUAAACUUUUACAAGGACGAGCUAUGAUGGUUGCUGUCGAUUCAUCUCUUUAUACUUAGUUCUCUGUCAAAGGAUGAGUCGUUGUCAAAUCACAAUGCUGAGAGUCCAGAUUGAAUCUCUGUUAAAAGGAAUCUGGAAACAUCUGGAUUCUCGAGAUUUUGAUCAUUUUUAAGGCCGCCUGGACAUUUUUGUCUAUCUUGUGGACACUGAGUUAGUAAGGAAUUUAACUUUAGUCCUAGCGUAACGUCCAGCGAGAAAGUGUUCAACAGGUGAUCAUUUUUGGUAAAUUAUUCAAGAAAAUAAAAAUUCCAUGAUGAAU
rnacentral:lncRNA from 1 species